rnacentral:lncRNA from 1 species
GGAUCGAGGCAAGAUCGAGGGCUAUCUUUGACAUUAUUGACAAAUUAGAGCUUGAGGAGAGGCGAUUUUUGAAAGAUUUUCAAGGAAAACUUGUGGUAAGUCCCUUGUGAUCAUUUCUACUCCAUAAUAUUGAAUUAUCAUCGAAUAAUCCGACUAGAUUACAUAUUUUUGAGGUGUAAAUCGGAGAUUUGAACUUAGAAAUUUAGAAAUAAGAUUUGAUGAUUUGGAGGUCGAGUUGAGGUUGGAUUUUUGUAAAAUUAGUAUGGGUAGACUCGUGGUGGAAUGGGCUUUCGGAUUUUGUAACUUUUGUCGGGUUCCGAGACGUGGGCGAAUUUUGAGCUAAAUUUCGGAUUUUUAUGAAAAAUUAGUAUCUUCUUAUGGAAUUAAUUCUAAUAAAUUUUAUUGACUGAACCGAAUUAUUGUGACUAGAUUCGAGGCACCCGGAGGCCGAUUUGCGAGGCAAAGGCAUAACAGAGUAAAGAAUUUUACGUUUUGAGGUAAGUAACAGUUAUAAAUUUGGUCAUGAGGGUAUGAAACCCCUGAUUUUUGUGUCAUGUUAUUAUUUUGGAGGUGACGCACAUGCUAGGUGACGGGCGUGUGGGUGUGCACUGAAGGGAUCACGACUUGGUCCGUCUCGUGAAACUGUAAAGUUGAAUAACUUGUUGUUAGUUAUAUGCUAUCUUUGUGUUGAAUAAAUUUGACUGUAAAUCAUGUUUAAAAUCAUGCUUAGGCUAUGUGAUAGUACUGUUGGACCCACAGAGGUCGUGUACUUGUUGAAUUAUUUGCUAAUUGUUGUCGUGUACUCAGUCAUAAUUUUACUUGUGCAUCAUACCUCAGUCUUUCUUGAUAUUUGUUGAUUCACUAUGUUAUCUUUGUUUGGGCUGAUCUUUAUGAUUUCGGAGAGCCCGAGAGACAAGAGAGGUUGAGGACUAAGUAAGGCCAAGGGCCUGUCGGUGGGGUAAGGAUAUAUGGCACGUGAUUUGUCCCUGCAGGAUAUUAUAGCACGUGAGUUGUCCGUGCAGAUUAUGACGCUUGGGAUAUAGGAGCCCCUUCAGAGUUUGUACAACCCCAGUGAGCGCGGGUACCCAUUUAGUGUGAGUGCUGAGGGCUGAGAGCUGAGUGGUUGAGCUAUUGUGACGAGUUGAGUGACUGUUGCCUGAGAGGUUGUACUUGCUUUUCAUUUAUUGUGGCAUUUAGUUGCUAUCUGUCAUUAUUGUGAAAUUCUCUGAAAGAUUCUAUAUCCGGAUUACAUGAACAUGAACUGUAUAAAAUUGAUUUGACUUAAACUGUUGGAUUUGAAAGCAUGUCUAUUCUUUGCUGGAAUUACUGUAAGUGAACUAUAACUGUGUAGCUCGUCACUAUCUUCAGUUCCUUAUUUAUUAUUGUUACUUGCUGAGUUAGUUAUACUCAUACUACACCCUGCACUUCGUGUGCAGAUCCAGAUAUUCCCGAACAUAGCGGGUGUUGAUUCUUUCUCACAGUUGAUUUUUCGAAGAUUCUGAGGUAGCUGCCGUGUUUCACAAACCUUGCCUCUCCUUCCCUAUCUCCUUAUUUAUUGUAUUUGGUCUUAGACUAUUAUAGACCGUAUUUUCCAGACUUGUAUUCAUAUUAGAUGCUCAUGUACUCAGUGACAUCGGGUUUAGGGAGUAAUUAUAUUUGUACUUGUGAGAUUUCUUUCGCUAAAUUAAAUCAUUAUGUUUUCUCCGCUGUUAGAAGUAGAUCUCAUUG